rnacentral:rRNA from 1 species
UUAGAGUUUGAUCCUGGCUCAGGAUGAACGCUAGCGACAGGCUUAACACAUGCAAGUCGAGGGGCAGCGGGGUAGUAAGCUUGCUUACUACUGCCGGCGACCGGCGCACGGGUGAGUAACACGUAUGCAACCUGGCCGUCACAGAGGGAUAACCGGGAGAAAUCCCGCCUAAUACCGCAUAAUACCGGGGAAGGACAUCCUUUUCCGGUUAAAGGAGCGAUCCGGUGACGGAUGGGCAUGCGCCGCAUUAGUUAGUUGGCGGUGUAACGGACCACCAAGACGACGAUGCGUAGGGGUUCUGAGAGGAAGGUCCCCCACACUGGUACUGAGACACGGACCAGACUCCUACGGGAGGCAGCAGUGAGGAAUAUUGGUCAAUGGGCGAGAGCCUGAACCAGCCAAGUCGCGUGAGGGAAGACGGUCCUAUGGAUUGUAAACCUCUUUUGCCGGGGAGCAAAAAGCGGUACGCGUACCGCAUCGAGAGUACCCGGAGAAAAAGCAUCGGCUAACUCCGUGCCAGCAGCCGCGGUAAUACGUAGGGGGCAAGCGUUAUCCGGAUUUACUGGGUGUAAAGGGAGCGUAGACGGUACGCCAAGUCUGAAGUGAAAUGCCGCAGCUUAACUGCGGAACUGCUUUGGAAACUGGCGGGCUGGAGUGCGGGAGGGGUAAGCGGAAUUCCUAGUGUAGCGGUGAAAUGCGUAGAUAUUAGGAGGAACACCAGUGGCGAAGGCGGCUGUCUGGUCUGCAACUGACGCUGAGGCUCGAAAGCAUGGGUAGCGAACAGGAUUAGAUACCCUGGUAGUCCAUGCCGUAAACGAUGAGUGCUAGGUGUCGGGGAGGAAUCCUCGGUGCCGGAGCAAACGCAAUAAGCACUCCACCUGGGGAGUACGACCGCAAGGUUGAAACUCAAAGGAAUUGACGGGGGCCCGCACAAGCGGAGGAACAUGUGGUUUAAUUCGAUGAUACGCGAGGAACCUUACCCGGGCUCAAACGGGGAGUGACUCAGGCAGAGACGCCUGUUUCCCACGGGACACUCCCCGAGGUGCUGCAUGGUUGUCGUCAGCUCGUGUCGUGAGAUGUUGGGUUAAGUCCCGCAACGAGCGCAACCCUUAUCUUCAGUAGCCAGCAUAUAAGGUGGGCACUCUGGAGAGACUGCCGUGGAUAACACGGAGGAAGGUGGGGAUGACGUCAAAUCAUCAUGCCCCUUAUGUCUUGGGCAACACACGUGCUACAAUGGCUGGAAACAAAGUGAAGCGAGACGGUGACGUUAAGCAAAGCACAAAAACCCAGUCCCAGUUCGGAUUGUAGUCUGCAACUCGACUACAUGAAGCUGGAAUCGCUAGUAAUCGCGAAUCAGAAUGUCGCGGUGAAUACGUUCCCGGGCCUUGCACUCACCGCCCGUCAAG